rnacentral:rRNA from 2 species
GGUUAAGUGACGAAGCGUAGACGGUGGAUGCCUAGGCAGUUGGAGGCGAUGAAGGACGUACUAACUUGCGAUAAGCCAUGAUGAGGCAGUAAGAGCCGCAUGAGUCA